rnacentral:rRNA from 1 species
UACGUAGGGUGCGAGCGUUAAUCGGAAUUACUGGGCGUAAAGCGUGCGCAGGCGGUUCGUUGUGUCGGCGGUGAAAGCCCCGGGCUUAACCUGGGAAUGGCCGUUGAAACUGGCGAACUGGAGUGUGGCAGAGGGGGGUGGAAUUCCGCGUGUAGCAGUGAAAUGCGUAGAGAUGCGGAGGAACACCGAUGGCGAAGGCAGCCCCCUGGGCUAAAACUGACGCUCAGGCACGAAAGCGUGGGGAGCAAACAGG